rnacentral:rRNA from 1 species
CAGUAGCCGCGGGAAUACGAAGGGUGCAAGCGUUAAUCGGAAUUACUGGGCGUAAAGCGCACGCAGGCGGUUUGUUAAGUCAGAUGUGAAAUCCCCGAGCUUAACUUGGGAACUGCAUUUGAAACUGGCAAGCUAGAGUCUUGUAGAGGGGGGGUAGAAUUCCAGGUGUAGCGGUGAAAUGCGUAGAGAUCUGGAGGAAUACCGGUGGCGAAGGCGGCCCCCUGGACAAAGACUGACGCUCAGGUGCGAAAGCGUGGGGAGCAAACAGGAUUAGAUACCCGCGUAGUCCCUGUCUCUUAUA